rnacentral:rRNA from 2 species
AAAUUGAAGAGUUUGAUCAUGGCUCAGAUUGAACGCUGGCGGCAGGCCUAACACAUGCAAGUCGAACGGUAACAGGAAGCAGCUUACUGCUUCGCUGACGAGUGGCGGACGGGUGAGUAAUGUCUGGGAAACUGCCUGAUGGAGGGGGAUAACUACUGGAAACGGUGGCUAAUACCGCAUAACGUCGCAAGACCAAAGAGGGGGACCUUCGGGCCUCUUGCCAUCAGAUGUGCCCAGAUGGGAUUAGCU